rnacentral:rRNA from 1 species
CUAUGCGCCUUGCCAGCCCGCUCAGGUGUGCCAGCAGCCGCGGUAAUACGGAGGAUGCGAGCGUUAUCCGGGAUUUAUGGGUUUAAAGGGUGCGUAGGCGGACUGUCAAGUCAGCGGUAAAAUACGGGGGCUCAACCUCCGCCCGCCGUUGAAACUGACGGUCUUGAGUGGGCGAGAAGUAUGCGGAAUGCGUGGUGUAGCGGUGAAAAUGCAUAGAUAUCACGCAGAACUCCGAUUGCGAAGGCAGCAUACCGGCGCCCAACUGACGCUGAAGCACGAAAGCGUGGGUAUCGAACAGG